AUGACCUCCACAGCAGCCUCCACGACCUCAGCUGAGACCUCCACGGCCUCCUAUACAACUCAAGAGACCUCCACAGGCCCCACCUCCACAUCCGUGAUCUCCACAACAGCCUCUACCACCACCCAAGAGACCUCCACGGCCUCCUCAACUACAGCAGGAACAUCCACAGGCCUCAACUCCACGCCUGUGACCUCCACUGUGGCCUCCACCACCUCUUCUGAGACCUCCUCGGUCUCCUCAACCACUCCAGGGACCACCAUCGCCUCCACAACCUCUUCUGAGACGUCCUCGGUGUCCUCAACCACUGCAGGGACCUCCUCAGGCCUCACCUCCACACCAUUGACCUCCACAGUGGCCUCUACCACCUCCCAAGAGACCUCCACUGCUUCUUCCUCCACUCUUUUGACCACAAGUGUGGCCUCCACCACCUCUUCUGAGACCUCCACGGCCUCCUCAACUACAGCAGGAACAUCCACAGGCCUCAACUCCACGCCUGUGACCUCCACUGUGGCCUCCACCACCUCUUCUGAGACCUCCUCGGUCUCCUCAACCACUCCAGGCACCUCCUCAGGACUCACCUCCACAGCAUGGACCUCAACUUUGGCCUCCAUCACCUCCCCAGAGACCUCCACUGCUUCUUCCUCCACUCUUUUGACCACAAGUGUGGCCUCCACCACCUCAGCUGAGACCUCCACGUCCUCCAGUACACCUCCAGGCACCUCCACUGGCCUCACAUCCACGGCUGUGUCCUCCACAGCGGCCUCCACCACCUCCCCAGAGACCUCCACGGCCUCCUCAACCACACCAGUGACCACCACAUCAUCCUCCACAACCUCUGGUGAGACCUCCACCAUCUCCAGCACAACUCCAGCAACAUCCACAGGCCUCACCUCCACUCUUUUGACUUCCACUGUGGCCUCCACCACCUCCUCAGAGACCUCCACGGCCUCCUUGUCCACUCCAGGGACCUCCUCAGGCCUCACUUCCACUCCUUUGACCUCCACAUCAGCCUCGACCACGUCUUCUGAGACCUCCACUGCCCCCAGUACAACUCCAGGCACCUCUACUGGCCUCACCUCCACUCUGGUGACCUCCACAGCUGCCUCCACCACCUCUGGUGAGACCUCCACUGUCUCCAGCACAACUCCAGCAACAUCCACCAGCCUCACCUCCACGCCUGUGACCUCCACCAUCGCCUCCACAACCUCUUCUGAGACGUCCUCGGUGUCCUCAACCACUGCAGGGACCUCCUCAGGCCUCACCUCCACACCAUUGACCUCCACAGUGGCCUCUACCACCUCCCAAGAGACCUCCACUGCAUCCUCAACCACUCCAGGAACCUCCACAGGAAUCACUACAACCCCUGUGACCUCCACAGCAGCCUCCAGUGCCUCCGCUGAGACAUCCACGGCCUCCAGUACAACUCCAGGCACUUCCACAGGCCUCACCUCCACUCCUUUGACCUCUACAGUGGCCUCCACCACCUCCUCAGAGACUUCCACGGUGUCCUCGUCCACUCCAGGGACCUCCACAGGCCUCACUUCCACUCCUUUAACCUCCACAUCGGCCUCCACCACCUCUUCUGAGACCUCCACAGCCUCCAGUACAAGUCCAGCAACAUCCACAGGCCUGACCUCCACUCCAGGGACCUCUACCACAGCUUCUACCACCUCCUCAGAGACCUCCACGGCCUCCACAACAACUCCAGGAACAUCCACAGGCCUCACCUCCACUCUUUUGACUUCCACUGUGGCCUCCACCACCUCCUCAGAGACCUCCACGGCCUCCUUGUCCACUCCAGGGACCUCCUCAGGCCUCACUUCCACUCCUUUGACCUCCACAUCAGCCUCGACCACGUCUUCUGAGACCUCCACUGCCCCCAGUACAACUCCAGGCACCUCUACUGGCCUCACCUCCACUCUGGUGACCUCCACAGCUGCCUCCACCACCUCUGGUGAGACCUCCACUGUCUCCAGCACAACUCCAGCAACAUCCACCAGCCUCACCUCCACGCCUGUGACCUCCACCAUCGCCUCCACAACCUCUUCUGAGACGUCCUCGGUGUCCUCAACCACUGCAGGGACCUCCUCAGGCCUCACCUCCACACCAUUGACCUCCACAGUGGCCUCUACCACCUCCCAAGAGACCUCCACUGCAUCCUCAACCACUCCAGGAACCUCCACAGGAAUCACUACAACCCCUGUGACCUCCACAGCAGCCUCCAGUGCCUCCGCUGAGACAUCCACGGCCUCCAGUACAACUCCAGGCACUUCCACAGGCCUCACCUCCACUCCUUUGACCUCUACAGUGGCCUCCACCACCUCCUCAGAGACUUCCACGGUGUCCUCGUCCACUCCAGGGACCUCCACAGGCCUCACUUCCACUCCUUUAACCUCCACAUCGGCCUCCACCACCUCUUCUGAGACCUCCACAGCCUCCAGUACAAGUCCAGCAACAUCCACAGGCCUGACCUCCACUCCAGGGACCUCUACCACAGCUUCUACCACCUCCUCAGAGACCUCCACAGCAUCCACAACAUCUGCAGAAACCUCCACAGGCCUCACCUCCACACCACUGACCUCCACUGUGGCCUCCACCACCUCUUCCGCGACCUCCACAGCGUCCUCAACCACUCCUGGGACCUCCACAGGACUCACUACAACCCCCGUGACCUCCACAUCUGCCUCUACCAUCUCCCAGGAGACCUCCUCGGUCUCCUCAACCACUCCAGGGACCUCCUCAGGCCUCACCUCCACAGCAUGGACCUCGACAGUGGCCUCCACCACCUCCUCAGAGACCUCCACUGCUUCUUCCUCCACUCUUUUGACCACAAGUGUGGCCUCCACCACUUCAGCUGAGACUUCCACGGCCUCCUCAACCACUCCAGGGACCUCCUCAGGCCUCACCUCCACUCCUUUGACCUCCACUGUGGCCUCCACCACCUCUUCCGAGACCUCCACAGUCUCUUCAACCACACCAGUGACCGCCACAUCAUCCUCCACGACCUCUGGUGAGACCUCCACCAUCUCCAGCACAACUCCAGCAACAUCCACAGGUCUCACCUCCACGCCUGUGACCUCCACAUCUGCCUCCACCACCUCAGCUGAGACCUCCACAGCUUCCAGUACAACUCCAGGAACCUCCUCAGGCCUCACCUCCACACCAGUGACCUCCACUGUGGCCUCCACCACCUCUUCUGAGACCUCCACGGCCUCUUCAACCACCCCAGGCACCUCCACAGGCCUGACCUCCACAGCUGUGUCCUCCACAGAGGCCUCCUCCACCUCUUCAGAGACCUCCACAGUGUCCACAACAUCUGCAGGAACAUCCACAGGCCUCACCUCCACACCCUUGACCUCCACAUCUGCCUCUACUAUCUCCCAAGAGACCUCCACGGCCUCCUCAACCACACCAUUGACCUCCACAGCCCUCACCUCCACAGCUGUGACCUCAACAGUGGCCUCCACCACCUCCUCAGAGACCUCCACUGCUUCCUCCACUCUUUUGACCACAAGUGUGGCCUCCACCACUUCAGCUGAGACUUCCAUGGCCUCCUCAACCACUCCAGGGACCUCCUCAGGCCUCACCUCCACUCCUUUGACCUCCACCGUGGCCUCCACCACCUCAGCUGAGACCUCCACGUCCUCCAGUACAACUCCCGGCACCUCCACUGGCCUCACAUCCUCAGCUGUGUCCUCCACAACAGCCUCUACCACCUCCUCCGAGACCUCCACAGUCUCCUCAACCACACCAGUGACCACCACAUCAUCCUCCAUGACCUCAGCUGAGACCUCCACCGUCUCCAGCACAACUCCAGCAACAUCCACAGGCCUUACCUCCACUUUGGGGACCUCCUCUGUGGCCUCCACAACCUCUUCCGUGACCUCCACGGCCUCCUCAACCACUCCAGGGACCUCCACAGGCCUCACUACAACACUCAUGACCUCCACAUUGUCCUCCACCACGUCAUCUGAGACCACCACAGCCUCCAGUACAACUCCAGGCACCUCCACAGGCCUCACCUCCACACCUGUGACCACAACGGCCUCCACCACGUCUGGAUUAAUGUCUUCUCCAUCUCCCACCACUGAAACCACCUCCACUGGUGUCACUUCCACCACCACCACCCCAACCACCACCACCACCACCACCACCACCACC
rnacentral:lncRNA from 1 species